CUAAAAGCAAAGACAGGGAAAAGUACAAUGACCCGCAUGCUUUCCAGAGAGGGAGACUUACCAGCUGAAAGGUUUCCCAGGCUGCCCAUUGGAAACGUCACCCUCGAGCUUCUUCUGCCAACGGCCAGUGCCCAGUAGUGGAAGACGGAUCAACUCCGUUAAAAACAUGAGAGCCGGCUCUUUUUUAUGCCGGAAAAAAGGUGGUACCGCGAGCGAACUCCAUUCGUCCUUUUA
rnacentral:ncRNA from 1 species